UUUGCAAACACAAUCACGUUCUUAAAUGGAAAUGUGGGGCUUUAAACAAAUCUUACAUCUCUCCUGUUCCAGUCGUCUAAAACUCCGCAAUCAGCCACACGUUCGACUCCAUCUAAAACCACAGCUUUUUUUAGAAGAUUUUUUCGGCUUUUGCGAGGAAAUGUGCCGUUACAUGCGGAGAAUUCGGGCGUCGAACCAAAACGCUUCUCUGUGGACUAAUGGAGCUGAAAGCUGAUGAUGAUGAUGAUGAUGAUGAUAGAGAAAAUAUCAUGCAAGCAUAAUUUUCCUUCUGUGAAAGCAGAUGCAGAGGGGAAAAAGGUGAUACACAUCACAUUACUUAACAUAGCUUUAUAGUUUUAUGAACUUUUAGCUUAAUAAUUAUAGUUGUUAGAUAAUAUAUUCACUUUACGUUUCUUUUUUUUAUUGGGAAUGGUUAGCAAUAAAAGCAAGCACAAGUAGACUAAAUAAAAACAAAUGAAAAUGUAAUUUCUACUUUUAUACAGUGCGUUUAUUUAAAUAUAAAAUUGUACAUUAAAUAAAUGAAUGUAAUAUUUUAAUAUCAUUUUAUAAUUAAUUAUUAGGCGCUCAAAAAUAUAUUUUGCAUUAUAAUUAGUAGGUUUCCGACGACACCUGUUUACUGCUUACAGAGUAUUAUUGUCAGAAAACCCACAGCUGUUUCAUUUCCUCCUUUCCGUCAAGCUCAGCUUGGGAAUGGCAGAAUUUCUAAGAACCUUGUGUAAAGUACUUAAUCAUUAUUCCGUCACUUAAAUAUUUAAUGAUUGAUUUGGCAAACCUUUGUGGGUUUCCUCAUGUAAACUGUCUGUUGCACUGGAGUAUUUUAAGAGCCGUCUCUCUUCCCUGGUGGCAGGAACAGUGAGGCUAAGCCAGCGCAAAGCCGCAGAGUUCCACAUGUCACUGCACACUCAAGAGAGCCCUCACCAAACUUAUUAAUGAGUUGCUUCCUUUUAAUUAGAUAGUAAUUCAUGUUAAUGCAUGCCUAAUGAACCCAAAUCGUUCCCUUCGGUCAUUCCGCGGAGUUCCACUGUGUUCCACUGUGUUUACUCAUUCUGUCUGUUUUUCCCGCUUUUGUGUUUUAUUAGGCUCAAAGGGGCCUGAAAGGACCGAGCGACUUGCUUUAGAGACAUCUGAGAAGUCCAUUGAAAGAGGCAAUAACGGGAUCAAGGGGCGUUCGUGUAUGAAUUCAACCGUAUGAUAUCAAGAAGGCUGCUUUAGCAACAGAUGCUUUGAGAUCACCAUGAUACGCUUUCACUGAACUUCUAGCCACAGGGUUACGUGCCUCAUGUGUGUGUUUGUGCACUGUGGAGACUAGGAGACAGUGAUGGCAAAUAGCAGAGUGACCGGACCGGCUUCAGCCCAAAAGGGGUCACGACCAGACUCCAAGUGCUCCUGUCUCGAUGUCGUCCGUGGUCAAGCACUUGCCAGGACAGACUGAAUUAAAUUAGACUGCUUUUAAUUGAGGAUUGACCGGUCUGAGAGCAGCUGGCGCUUGGGUCAGUCAAGAUAGCAAAGCCCUGAAUCCCCCAGGCCCCAACUGCAAUUUCAGCCCUGCAGGUCCUGGAAUGGACUGGGAGGGAGAGAAGUCCGGAGCAUGCUGGGAAUGCAUGGCUGAUGAUUAGCAAUAAGAGUUUAUAGGAAGGCUUAGAUGAGAUUUGGCUUGUUUGCUUGAGUGGAAAGUGUAACACACACACACACACACACACGUGUGCGCUCUCAGAGCCUGUAGACUCAGCGUAAAUCGGCUUAAGGUUUGCACCUCGCUGAAAAUCUCCUCAAUCGCCCGGUCGACACAAUUAAUCGCUUCAUUAAUUAACAAUCGCUGUGCGAUACACCACCCCGGCUGUGUCUUGGCAAGCGUGCAACUUACAAGCAAGCCCUUCUUUUUCUUCUUACGUUCUCUUGCUUCACUCCUCCCACCCGCUUCGAUACUCCUCUUUAUCUUUUUCUUCUGUACUCCUUUUCUUUUCUUUCUUUAAGCAGCAUUGCAAAAGCCGACUCUGCUGUUUUAGCAGGAACAGACGCACUUUUUUUCUCGGCAAGCAGGUCAGAGCGCUCUGCUAACAUUUGUUAUCUAUAAUCCUGCAGGUCCCCGCGCAAAAUGAGCGUAGUAAACUCUUGCAAAGCCCUAAUCCCUCCGUUUCUUUUAGAUGCGCUUUUUCUCUCUCUCAUGCUCUUUUCUUUUCCAUCUUUGGGGUGGGAAAGCGUUUUUUUAAGAGGAGGCAUCUCUGAUUGUGACACUUAUUUUUGAGCUUUUCUGAAUUACUCAACUUCUUUUACUUAGGAACUCGUCAACCUUUUUUUUGGCAAUUAAAAAGAUUCUGAUUUUUUAACACACUCUGCUGCCGAAGAAUCAUUUCAGGCCGCCACCAGCCGCCCAUGCUUUUGUGACAGGCUUUGUUGAUUUGCUUUUCAGACUCAUGUGUGUGGUUCACAGAAAUCUCUCUCUUUAUUCAUACUGUACGCAUUUACGGUUCAACUGUCGGUGUCAGUUAAUCUGGCUUUUGCGGUUGAUUCAUCUCAGUAUCAUACAAGGAUAUGUGCAAAAAAAGGUUUUUCUUUCGCCAUCACUCUCAAUUAUCUAUGCGCUGAUUUGAUUUGAGUUCGAUACUAUGCAAAUUAUGUAUAUGAAUGCUCUCGUACAGUUCUGCUGCAUUUUGUCUUGGUCAUGCACACCCACACAUGUAGCGAGCACGUCGAGGUGUGUGUGUGUGUGUGUGUGUGUGUGUGUUGUAUGGUGAGUAAUAGCAGGGCUCGGUGGAAGGCUGUAGUGUUGACAGCAUGGUAAACGAUGCAGCCUGCCUACUGCAGCAGCUAGCCUGCUAAUCACAUACACCACAUGAUAAUGAGAACAACCCCUGUCCUCCAACACACACACACACACACACACACACACACACACACACAGUAACCACUAACCACAGCAAACAGACACAAACUCCCUCUCACACACACUGACCCAUACUUCUACAGACAAAUGGAAGACAUAAUGGUAGCCGGAGGCAGUGCACGGUGCAUCUUUCUAUCUCUCUCUCUCACACUCUCGAACCAAGCACAUCUCUAUCGCUUUACUGUCCUUACACACAUACAUACACUGUUCUCUCUUGUACUAACAGCUUUCUGACAGAAGACUCGGACUUGCGUCACACAUACACUGGGAGAGUGACAUGAGAUUUGAUGUGGAAUCAUAGUGGCAAUUAAGAUGGGACUUUAGAGACUUGUAAUUUAAAGUUUUUGGGUGUAUAAGGUGAUGUAUUUUCUCUGAAUAUUGAAAAAGUUUGGGUCUCUUAUGCACUUACCAUGAGUAAUAAAAUUACUCAUUUUAAAUUAAUUAAAUUAUUUUUGAAUGAUUGAAGUAAAUGAACUAUUAAUUUAAAAACAUAAUUAAAAUAUAAUAUAUAUAUAUAUAUAUAUAUAUAUAUGUGUGUGUGUGUGUGUGUGUGUGUGUGUGUGUGUUUAAAAGACAUCUAUUCUGCUCAUGAAGGCUGAUUUUAUUUGAUUAAGAAAUAAAAUAAAAACAAUAUAAAGUAAUACUGGGAAAUGUUAUUACAAUUUCUACCACUUUCUAUUUGAACAUGUCUAAAAAGCUGAAGUUAAUGCUGGCUUUUUUUUUUGCAAAAUAGCAACACACACAAACACACACAUAUAUAUAGGUCAUUUCUAUCUACACACAACAUAUCACAUCAGUCAUAUAUCAGAUUUUGCUGCUAAGGGUAUGAAGAGGACUUGAAAAAGAAAGGAAGCAUGUAAACCCUCAAACUCCCUCAAAUACCCAUGGGUGCAAGAUUUUGAGUCACAGCUACUUUCUUGAUGCAGCUGUGGGCAUAUGAGAGAUUUCAGUUAAAUAUUUCCUCUUUCUCCCUCACAAACUAAAAAAAAACACUUUUAGCUGAGUCCCUAAACAGUUCCUGCUCUGUUAGACCAUCAGGACACUUUGCUGUUGCAUGGGGGUUAGGAACAAGGAACUGUAACACAAACCUAAGCUACUGAAUUUUAAGAUGUUUGAGGACUCUGCCAGGAAGCGAAAAAUAACCGAUCAAUUUGUUUGAGGUCACGUGCAGAUUUACGCACAUUACCUGUGAUUAACACGGGUAUAAAUUAGGAUAUUGUUUCCUGGCAAAUGUGCGCUCUAAGGAAUGAAGAUGUGCAAAUGUGUUCAUUUUAAGUGAGGUGACACUCACAUUCACACUUCUUUGUAUCUUGCAGGGCGUCAUGUGCAGGAUGUAGACUGGAACAGGUGGGGUGUCUGUAGGUCCUUUUCGUACCAUAUGCAAUCAGGAGGCGUGAUGGAGCUGCCGAGGAUCGGUGGGAUGACAGUGUAGAGGACAGAGAGAGUUCAGAGGAAAAGAAAGAAGGAGGGGAGACGGGGGUUUACACUUUGAUGACACUUCAAAAACUGUGUGCCAAGACUAAGCUAUCAGCCCUAUCUGAGAACUAACUAGCAUAUGUGUGCCCUCUUUUACAGUCCCUUGUGAAAACAAAACACAACGCAACAACAAACAAUGCCGGCAACAAACAAGGCCCUCUAUUUCUUCAACCAACAAAACAAGAACGACGGCAGGCUGAAGUAAUCUCAUUAGCCUGUGAGGAAAAACAGCUAUUAACGGCAAUUCAAUACACUGGGUGAAUUCACUGCACUUGGACUUUGGAUCAAUGUGACUGAUAAUUAUCCGACUUGGGUUUAUACGUUCUCAUGCAGCCUAUCCCAGUGCACGGGGCACGUUCCCCAACUUCACUGACCUCCCUAGACAGUAACAAAUGGGCUUGAUGGCUGGGCUGAUGUUUGCGUGUAUAAUGUGGAAGGGAUUCUCUCGAUGCUUAUGCCUAAAAACCAAGCUUCGUCAUCAAUCUCCCCAAUAUCAUGAGUCCUUCUGCUCUUCCAAAGCCCCAAUCCCCAGGCAAUGGCAAUACAGCCUCCGACACGCAGCCCAACCUCUCGCUCUCCUCUUCAUGACGAAUGAGUUUUAAUAAAAGCUGACGGAGUGAUGAAAUUAAAAGUGCGUCCCAUGGCCUCCGAUUGCUCCAGCUGCUCAAUUACAGCGCAUAUCUCAGCACCCUCACCCUCGGUUCGCCAGCAUUGUCUUACAUCACUAUUGGCGUAAUAUUAUUGGACUCUAUCGUCGUCAGGCCCGCUUGUUGAAGUCUAAGUCGCUGCUCUGAUAGACACCCAAAGAGAUGUGCGUCUUCCGCUAACCUAAUAAAAUCUGCCUUCCUCGACCUUAUUAGCUAGUAUUAUGUCGAUUUCCCAUGCUACCUCAUUACGGCAGUGAUGGUGUACCCGAGGAGGUGGGUAAAGAGAACAAGUGUGCAUCUUUCUAAGGGAAAAGUCCCAUAAGCACUAACCGACGCAGUUCUAAUCUGCCCCGUCACCCCGUUCGGAAAAAGCUUCCUUUGUUUUAGAUUAUGAAGCAUCCUUAAUCCUACUCUCAUCCCCCACUUGUACUAAUUUAUAAUCUUUUAGGUCUGAGUUUAAAGGGGAUGGAAGGGGUCACAAUGUUCUGUUACAUUUCUAGUAAGAAGGCAAUGCUUUAUAAAAAACAGCCCAUUUUGGAAAUACAACAAAUCCUCAGAACUACUAAACAUUUUUUAACAUUGGCUCACUGGAAAAAUGUGCCUCCAACUACAUUUUUGCAAAACUCUAAAGACGUGCCAUUACAUAGAAUUUACUGCAUUUUUUAGGAGAAAUGAAGUAAGACACCAACAGCUUUUAUUUCUGUUUCAUCCAAACUGUGCAGGCAGAUUACAUAUAGAUUAAUAAACAUUUAUUUCUGCACAGUUCCAUGCACAAUAUCACUUUAUGAGCUCAAAACACCUUUAUGAUGAUUUUGCAUGAUUCUAAACUAAAACAUAUUCAGUUUGGUAUUACAGCUGCAUUUGUAAAGCUUUUACUAAAGUGAACUUGCUUACCUGACACAGCAUUGCACUUGUAUGUAGAGCACUCUGAAUUCCUAUGAAACAGGUUCAAAUGGUUUCUUCUAAAAAAAAGGAAAAAAUUAUAUAAUGGUAUGUUAUUUUCAUACCUGAUACAGCAUUAACCUUUUAGUGACACUCACCAGAGACUUCCCUUUGAAAGUGUUAUGUACAACAAAUGUUCACAAUUAUGUAUUUCUGAGAAAAUCAACAUACUUUCCUUGUCUUUUUACUGGACAUUUCACAAAAAGUAAGCAAAAUACCAAACAUGAUACCCCAAAAUGUCAUGAACAUAAAAUGUUGUAAAAAAUGUACGUGAUGCUGUAAAAUGAAUACCAUUCUAC